AACCGCCGGAUGCGGAAAACCGCACGUCCGGUGGUGUGGGAGCCCUGACGGGUGCAAAUCCCCUCAGGGCGACCCGAU
rfam:Chthoniobacter flavus Ellin428 ctg33, whole genome shotgun sequence.